rnacentral:rRNA from 1 species
CCUACGGGUGGCAGCAGUAGGGAAUAUUGCUCAAUGGGGGAAACCCUGAAGCAGCAACGCCGCGUGGGGGAUGAAGGUUUUCGGAUUGUAAACUCCUUUUGUUAGAGAAGAUAAUGACGGUAUCUAACGAAUAAGCACCGGCUAACUACGUGCCAGCAGUCGCGGUAAUACGGAGGGUGCAAGCGUUACUCGGAAUCACUGGGCGUAAAGAGCGCGUAGGCGGGCUAGCAAGUCAGAUGUGAAAUCCUAGGGCUUAACCAUAGAACUGCAUUUGAAACUGUUAUUCUAGAGUAUGGGAGAGGUAGGUGGAAUUCUUGGUGUAGGGGUAAAAUCCGUAGAGAUCAAGAGGAAUACUGAUUGCGAAGGCGACCUGCUAGAACAUAACUGACGCUGAUGCGCGAAAGCGUGGGGAGCAAACAGGAUUAGAUACCCUUGUAGUC